UAAAAUAAUGAAAUUCUGCCAAAGAACUAUAAUUUGGAUGAUUUUAUUCACGUUUUUGUACUCGAAUUUAAAUUACUCAAGCCUUAAUAAGUUAAAUUAUAAUGUUUUUAAUCAUAAACUUAAUUCUUUUGGAUGAAUGAGCAUUGAGUCUAUGCUUACAUUUUUAUAACUCAAAGCUAAAAAAAAGUUUUGUACGAAUGUUUGAAAACAAAGUUGAGGAAUUUCAAGUGCAUUUAUAUGUUUUUAAGUGGUUUGGUGCAUAGAUUGUGGUGUUUUGGCUGCGUGUGGACAUAUUUUGAAACGGGAUAAUGAAUGUAAGCGAGCGCUCAUCCCAUCUGUCCUUUGCCCUAAUAGAAGCAAUGAUUGACUUCCUGGAGAGAAACCCAGAUCUGGCAAAGGGUUUUUCAAAAACUCAAUAUGCCAGAGAGUGGAGCACUAAGAAGUUUUGUCAUAGCGGCUCAAUAAUAUGGGUGGGACGAUUAAAACAUACAAGCAGUGGACCAAACAAUCAGACCCAAUACAAUUGGUUCCCCAGCCUCCCUCUUUAAUACAAAGCAGUGGACAUUCAGAAAUUUCAGUGAGUUGAAGAGCAGCAGUUAGAAAUUCUGCGGCCCAAUGCACUGGUCAAGGCGAACAUGAUGAAGCGCAGCAUUGAGAGAGACGGAAUUGCCGCUAACGCUGUGGCGGCAGUGGAGGAAGGAUUAAAUGCGCUAGCAGAAGCUAUUAGGUUGAACUGGGGUCAAAUAAAUAAGUAUUUAAAUUG
rnacentral:lncRNA from 1 species